AGAGAAAGACGUUUCAUCCGUCCAGGGGCAGCCGGAGUCGAUGGCUCGAUGGAAUGCAGACUGGAACGGUAUGCCAACAGUUCUUCUUCUUCUUCUUCUUUUUCUAGUGUCUGGUGUAUAUAGUGUAUACAUAUUCUCGUCUUGUAUAUACACACACACAGCGUACUGUUCUCUCUUUGCACACAAGAUGCGCAUACACAAGGAGCCGGACUGACUGCUGUCUGCGUUACAACAAAAGAAGAGCGGCCCGGUCCAUAGUGUGUGUGUACACACAGUGUUCUCCAAAACGAUACCAACAGAACUCUGGCCGUUCGCUUUCCAUCCCCUGUGAAGACAUUGGUGAUGAUGGGGGUGGCAACUGGCGGCCUCCGCUAGAUUGAGGCUAUCCACACUCGACUAGAAAUGAAGAAUCAAAUCAGAUCCAACAGUUUCUUCUUAGAAAUGGAUGAAACAUUCCGCAGAAUAGAAAUGCAGCGGUGCACAAGCAACAACAACCCGUUUAACGCGUCAGCGGCAAGUGAUGUGUGUUACAUUGGCCAAUGCAGGACAAGUUUCGAUAUUUCCAAUCGACUGCAGUAUA